rnacentral:rRNA from 1 species
GAUGAACGCUGGCGGCGUGCCUAAUACAUGCAAGUCGAGCGAACAGAUGAGGAGCUUGCUCCUCUGACGUUAGCGGCGGACGGGUGAGUAACACGUGGAUAACCUACCUAUAAGACUGGGAUAACUUCGGGAAACCGGAGCUAAUACCGGAUAAUAUAUUGAACCGCAUGGUUCAAUAGUGAAAGACGGUUUUGCUGUCACUUAUAGAUGGAUCCGCGCCGCAUUAGCUAGUUGGUAAGGUAACGGCUUACCAAGGCAACGAUGCGUAGCCGACCUGAGAGGGUGAUCGGCCACACUGGAACUGAGACACGGUCCAGACUCCUACGGGAGGCAGCAGUAGGGAAUCUUCCGCAAUGGGCGAAAGCCUGACGAAGCAACGCCGCGUGAGUGAUGAAGGUCUUCGGAUCGUAAAACUCUGUUAUUAGGGAAGAACAAAUGUGUAAGUAACUAUGCACGUCUUGACGGUACCUAAUCAGAAAGCCACGGCUAACUACGUG